GGGUUUCCGUUGUCAAAUAGGAAGUGAAAACACGGGCAGCCAUCCUUAAGCAAUUCCCGCUAUCUCCUGGUAUAGAUGGGAAGGGAUGUCCAUGGUUUAACUCCUUAGCUCCCUAGGUGGGAUCCGAACCUGGGCCCAAAGCAGUAGCGGGGGGGGGGCGGGGGGGGUCAUGCAGCACUGGGAAUGGUUUCUCAAAACCCUCACACAGGUCGUCCGCUGACCUUGGUCGGGCUUACUGCGGGUAGCGUCUCGAGGAGUUACGAUUCCCGGCUUGCGGUUGGAUAAAUGAGUUCCUGUGUGAAAUGGUGGUCUCUGUGAAAAGGGCGUGUGAGAUCGAAUUAAUAUGGAAGCACGCACGUGGCAUCUUAAAGUCAGGAACCACAGACAGGAUGGUUUAUAAAGAACAGAGAGGUUCCAGAGGCAGGGAAAUUCAAGAACUGGGUGCCAGCCUUCCUGCUGCAUCUUGAUGAGACAGAGAGCGUCCCAUGGCCAGACAGGCAAGCGUGCCAGCUCAUAUCUCACUUCUUCCUCUGAAGCCACUGGUGGUGGUGUGGAAAGUUCAUGCUGGAAUAGAAAGCUAACAAGGACAGAGCUCUACCCUCCUCACCUCAUUCGAAGAAUCUCCUCCUACAAGCCUCAUUUCAAAUAGCAACUCCAACUU
ensembl:processed_transcript uncharacterized LOC110325477